rnacentral:rRNA from 1 species
AUUGAACGCUGGCGGCAGGCCUAACACAUGCAAGUCGAACGAGUGGCGGACGGGUGAGUAAUGUCUGGGAAACUGCCUGAUGGCGGGGGAUAACUACUGGAAACGGUAGCUAAUACCGCAUACCAUCAGAUGUGCCCAGAUGGGAUUAGCUAGUUGGUGGGGUAACGGCUCACCAAGGCGACGAUCCCUAGCUGGUCUGAGAGGAUGACCAGCCACACGUGAACUGAGACCCGGUCCAGCUGCCUACGGGAGGAAGCAGGGGGGAAUAUUGCAAAAUGGGCGCAAGCCUGAUGCAGCCAUGCCGCGUGUAUGAAGAGGGCCUUGGGGUUGUAAAGUACGUUCAGCGGGGAGGCGUUACCCGCAGAAGAAGCACCGGCUAACUCCGUGCCAGCAGCCGCGGUAAUAC